rnacentral:piRNA from 1 species
UGGGCACCGUGGGCCAACCCUGCAGG